UACGUAGGGGGCUAGCGUUGUCCGGAUUUAUUGGGCGUAAAGGGCGCGUAGGCGGUUCGGCAAGUCUCUAGUGAAAUCUCUGGGCUCAACUCAGAGUCUGCUGGGGAAACUGCCGGGCUUGAGUGUGGGAGAGGAGAGUGGAAUUCCCGGUGUAGCGGUGAAAUGCGUAGAUAUCUGGAGGAAUACCGGUGGCGAAGGCGGCAUCCUGGACCGGUAUUGACGCUGAGGGCGGCGAAAAGCCCAGGGGGAGCAAACGGG
rnacentral:rRNA from 1 species